rnacentral:rRNA from 1 species
CGGGUGAGUAACGCGUGGGUAAUCUACCCUUGAGUCUGGAAUAACGUCUCGAAAGAGGCGCUAAUACGGGAUAAGACCACAGGGACUUCGGUUCUAGGGGUAAAAGGUCCUUCACGGGAUCGCUUGAGGAUGAGCCUGCGUGACAUUAGAUUGAUGGUGGGGUAAAGGCCUACCAUAUUGUCUACGAUGUCUAGCUGGUCUGAGAGGAUGAUCAGCCACACUGGGACUGGAACACGGCCCAG